rnacentral:rRNA from 1 species
GACGAACGCUGGCGGCGUGCCUAAUACAUGCAAGUAGAACGCUGAAGGAGGAGCUUGCUUCUCCGGAUGAGUUGCGAACGGGUGAGUAACGCGUAGGUAACCUGCCUGGUAGCGGGGGAUAACUAUUGGAAACGAUAGCUAAUACCGCAUAAGAGUAGAUGUUGCAUGACAUUUGCUUAAAAGGUGCAAUUGCAUCACUACCAGAUGGACCUGCGUUGUAUUAGCUAGUUGGCGGGGUAACGGCUCACCAAGGCGACGAUACAUAGCCGACCUGAGAGGGUGAUCGGCCACACUGGGACUGAGACACGGCCCAGACUCCUACGGGAGGCAGCAGUAGGGAAUCUUCGGCAAUGGACGGAAGUCUGACCGAGCAACGCCGCGUGAGUGAAGAAGGUUUUCGGAUCGUAAAGCUCUGUUGUAAGAGAAGAACGAGUGUGAGAGUGGAAAGUUCACACUGUGACGGUAUCUUACCAGAAAGGGACGGCUAACUACGUGCCAGCAGCCGCGGUAAUACGUAGGUCCCGAGCGUUGUCCGGAUUUAUUGGGCGUAAAGCGAGCGCAGGCGGUUAGAUAAGUCUGAAGUUAAAGGCUGUGGCUUAACCAUAGUACGCUUUGGAAACUGUUUAACUUGAGUGCAAGAGGGGAGAGUGGAAUUCCAUGUGUAGCGGUGAAAUGCGUAGAUAUAUGGAGGAACACCGGUGGCGAAAGCGGCUCUCUGGCUUGUAACUGACGCUGAGGCUCGAAAGCGUGGGGAGCAAACAGG